UACGUAGGGUGCAAGCGUUAAUCGGAAUUACUGGGCGUAAAGCGUGCGCAGGCGGUUAUGUAAGACAGGUGUGAAAUCCCCGGGCUUAACCUGGGAACUGCAUUUGUGACUGCAUAGCUAGAGUACGGUAGAGGGGGAUGGAAUUCGCGUGUAGCAGUGAAAUGCGUAGAUAUGCGGAGGAACACCGAUGGCGAAGGCAAUCCCCUGGACCUGUACUGACGCUCAUGCGACGAAAGCGUGGGGAGCAAACAGG
rnacentral:rRNA from 1 species